UGGAGCAGGCAGCUACAGGUUGAAUCCACAGGCACCUGUUAUGUGGCAGUUCUCAUGCCUCUUCCCCCUUUGCCUUCUACCUUUUGCAGAGCUGGCAGAUGAAGUUUCCACAGCAGAAGGUCCCUGUGUACAACCCUGUUUGGGCAAUACAGAGGCUGCACCAAUGCUGCCUUUGGAGUUUUGGCUCUCAGGGCUCUUGACAAGACCAGCAAACCUCUGUGCUCAGUGAGGGGCUGCAUCACAAGACUGUAACCUGCCCCAAGACACCCUGUUGGGGACUUCCAGCCACCAGGGAACCACUGCACCCUGUGACACCCUGUACAAUGGACCCUGCAGAACACUGAAGCUUCCAAAUAUUUAUUGAUGUGGACUCGAUUCAGGUGCAAUGACAUAGUUGCAAUGUACUGUUCUGGGUUUGGCUGGGAUAGAGAUGAUUUUGUCCACAGUGUUGGUAUGAUGGUUUGGUUUGGAUUUGUGCUAGAAACAGUGCUGGUAACACAGAAGUGUUUUUGUUAUUGCUGAGCAGGGCUUACACGAAGGCAAGGCCUUUUCUUCUUCUCAUCCCACCCAACCAGUGAGUGGGUUGGAGGUGCACAAGGAGUUGACAACCAUGUCAUGGCACCCAUACUACAUGGAAUUACACUCUGUAGAUAAAGCUGGGAAAGAAGUAGGAAAACAGUACAUGUUGGAAUCACAGCAUUUGUCUUCCCAAGUCACUGCUACAUGUGAUGGAGCCCUGGUCUCCUGGGGGUGGAAAAAUACUUGCCUGUCCAUGGAGAGUGAUGAAUUAAUUUCUUGUUUUGCCCUGCUUCCAUGCAUGCAGAUUUUGCUUUACCUACUAAACUAUCUUGAUCUUGGUCCACUAAUUUUCCCACUUCACUCUUCUGAUUCUCUCCCCCACCAGCAGGAUGGAGCAGUGAGUGAGUGGCUGCGUGGUGCUUAGUUGACAGCUGGGGUUAAAACAUGAUAUGCACAAAGCUUAAAAAUAUACCUGCUGAGUGGCUAUGUAGAUGUGUUCUGCAUCCUUGUGGGAGUAUGUGGUUUUCUCCUUAAUGAGCUUGGCAAGGAUUUCUGGAGUUGAAGGAAGGCAGAGGAUAGGAUGAGUUUGCCCUCUUUUGUACCAUGUGGCACACUUUCCUCUUAAGCUAAUUUAUUUAGCGAAUUAUUUGUAAUUGUGGCGACCUGUGACACUUUUUAACAAAAACAGAAUUAUGUAUCCUUGUGGCACAUUACAGUAGACACUUAAAAGCCACAAUAUAAUGAGCCUUGUAUUUGCCAGGAGGUGGUGGGUAGUGCAGUGUGGGCUAUGGUAACAUGUAGGGAAGAUGUUUUUAUGGCAGUUCUGGAAAAAAUCGUUGUACUUUGCUUUCCUCUGUGGGUAACUGGGCUUGGUGACUCAGGUGAUAUUUUCAAGCACUAACCUGUUUUUGAAGCACUAACCUGCUUUUGACAGAAGAUGGUAGGUUAGAUCCUGCAGACUUCAAAAUUCAUUUGAUUUCCAAUAACUCCUUCCAACCAGUCUGGGCUUUUCAUAUUGCCCUUGAUAAAACCUGAAAAUGUUUUAGGUUAGGUACCAUACAGCUAAGGAAUUUUGCAGGUUUCUGCUUUCAAAUAAAAUACCCCUAAUAAAUGAGAGUACUUCCCACGUACAGUGUGGCUUUUCAAAGGUCCCUAAAAGAUUAAGGAAUAUGUCAGGGGGUGAGUGCAGUGCCAUUUUUCUUCCUCUCUGUGCAUUACAGCAAGUGGUGGGUUUAUCAGUUGUUUCACAUGUUUUGAUAGAGACAAUGCAAACAAGUGUUUCUAAAUCUGUGCUCUCAGUAGUUUUCCUGCUCUUCCUUCACUUGCAAGCAAUCUUUUCUUACUGGUUGUUGUUUUUCUCUGUGCUAUUAUGCCCUGUUUGUCUCUUUUUUUUUUUUUUUUUUAGUCACGUUAUCUGUCCCAAGAAAUUGUAGCUUUCUAACACAUAAAACAGGAGUAUUUCCAGGAUAUGUAAAGCUAUACUCUUGAACUUGUGACAUUUAAAGGGCAAUAGAAUGCUAAUGUGACUAAUAAAACAGGAAAAAUGGCUUUAUAUAAGUCAUUGUGAAAAUGGCUCAACCUACCUUUUAAAUGGACUAAUUUAAACAACAUUCAUUCAUAGGGGCAUUGGAGGGAGGCUGGAGAGCUUGGGCAAUACAGAUAGAACUAUAAAAACAAAGCAAGCCCUUGUUAUUCUAUUUUGAAACCUUUAAAAAAGAUCGAGCCAAGUUUUCCUGUGAUAGGGACUCCUUACCAUUUUUUUUCUGCAGAUUAUAAUUCACAAGAGUAAUUGACUGCAUGGUUUUGUUUUGUUUCCAUUCUGCUGUGAAAAAUGUUUUAACCUAAAAGCAAUUUUUUUUUUUUUACAUUGAUUUUUUUGAUUUUUCUUUGAAUUUGUACAGUAAAAUUCCACAUUUGAUAGUUCAGUAUUUCUAGCUAAUGCUGUGAGGCCUAUGUGAACAUUAACUAUACUGGCAGGUCAAAUCCCUUCUGAACAAUACUGAGACUAUACUGAUUUUAAAUGUAUAACGUGCGGUUGCUAAGUCAUGAAAUUAUGUAUAUGGAUUGAAAAUUAAGGAAAGCACCCAUAAGUUUUACCUUUUUGACCUAUCCUUUCUACUCUGAUCUAGGUUUCUCUGUCCACAUGGAAAAACAUUAAGAUUUUCAGAUUAUUACAAUAGUCAAAAGGCCUCAAAUAACAAGAACAAUUUGUGAUUAUGACCCACAGUAAUUCUAAGGAUCGUGUGGGAGCAUUGAGAGGAAGGAGAGCUACAUUUAAAUGGGAGAAUUACUGUGGAAACCUGGCAAAUCCCCCUCGACACCAAUGAAGAAGUCAUCAAGAAGAGUCAGAUUCUUCACAGAGGUGGGAGGAUGACAGACUAUGGAUAUGAAUGGAAAUAAAAACAGUUGAGCUUGAAUAUAAGAGAAAACUUUUUCAAAGUGAGGACAGUGCAACAGAUUGCCUUUGGUAUGUUGCAACUGCAGUUUCUGCUGUCUCCAUACUUGUUUUUGGCCAGUCAGGUCUUGAAAAUGUUUUUGAGAAACUUCAUCUGAUCCUUUGUGCAGAAAAUUAGAUUAAAGGUUUCUUGCGGUCCCUUUCAAUUUAAGUUUUCCUAUAAUUAUUUCUGUGGUUUUCAAAGGUUCUGACUUGAUAUCUGAGAUGCUAACAAUACUUUUCAGCAAGGGACUGGACUAAAUACUUUAAAUAUAAUUUUAUUUCAUGUUAAAUCAUUAUUGAAAAUACUGACUAGUACUGGAUUCACUGCAGAUCCAUCCAAAUCCCAUCCUGAGACUGAAAAUUCUGACAUAGGACGUGAGCAUGUUUUAAAAUCUGGUAUUCAUGCACUGACAUUUCCUGUGAAUUGUAUUUUCCUGAUGUGAGAAUAUCAUGCAGGUAUGUGAAAAAGUUUAGGUAGAUAACAUAAAUGUCAUAUCUAUGUCUUUCUCCUUAUCAUCUAGGCCAGUAAUCCUACUAAAUAUACCAAACAAAACUGGCAUAAUAUAAUUUAUCACUUUUCUAUUAUUGCUUUUUAUUAGCCUAUUGUCUUCUUGGUCAUAGUAAUUAAUAAUUUAAGUAUCUCUUGCUGGAAUUUUCCUAAGCACUGGCAAAAAUUCAAUUAAUACAUAUUAAAAUGUUAUUUUAGACAGACACUGGUGCAGCUUUGGUUUUCUCGAUUUCUGAGAGACACUUUUGUCCUCUGAAUUGUUAAGGAUGGCUUCCACCAGUUCCUGAAAUUCUUUAGGGGGAAGCUUUUUCAGGUCCAGCUAUAUUGAAAGUAUCUAUCUUGCCUUAAUACUUUAAAGAUGUCCUUUCCUUACUUUGGUCCAUGUUCAUCUCUCCUUUCUUAUCUAUUUUGUCAAAAAAAAAAAAAAAAAAAGAAAUGUCAGUAUUUCAGUCUUGUCUGUGUCAUACAUUAUUGUUGUUCCAAAGAUACAGUGUGCAUAUUUUUUUCUGGUUUUUCUCUUCAGUAAAAGUAGAGAAUGUUUCUGAUUCAAUCACUGAAAUUCUCCUUGAAACCUUUUCUAUUCCUUGCCAGCUGUAAUUCAUUUUGUGUAUUCCUCUUUUGAUUUUAUUUUUCUGGGCUGUGUUACUCCCUCAUUCAUUCUUGGUUAUAUGUUCUUGUUUCCACUUUUUGUGUGAUUCCCCUCUAAUUUUCAUGCUAUUUAAGAGUUAUGAGUGACACACAAGACAGGUACUGAAAACAAUUGGAAAAAAUCUACAAAAUAAAGAUUUACAAGUACUCAUGUGCAUCAUCCUCCCUCAAUGGUCUGGCAACUAGGUUAAACCCCAUCUGUCUUUCAAGGCUGCUGGAAAUAUCAAGAGGAUUUGAGUGUGUAUUGUGGCACAUAUAGAGGUGGUUGGGUCAUAAUGCCUAGGUCACCAAGAACUCCUUUUUUCCACCCCAAAGGAUAUCCAUGACCAACCUGGAAUCAAAGUCUGUCUCUGGAAACCCAGAGGGGCCAUAUACCAGUCAAACUUGACUAAGUCUUUCAGAGAUCAUAGAAUUAAUUGCAGUAACAGCUAAAUUAAUUUGCACUUUCCAUUUGAUUUAAUUGCAGUUAAAUUAAAUGCAGUCCAAAUGGAAAAAGGAAACAAUGAAAAUACAAGCCAUUCCCAACAGACCUCGAGAAAAAAAAAAAGGAAAUAACCAUUCCACUGCAAAUUAUACAAACAGCCUGAUUAUUACAGAGCUCUCUGUAGACUUCUGGGAACUGACUGACUUCUUGGAAGAGUUAUGGAUAAAAAAAUAAAAUAUUUGGGCAAAAAUAGAGUGCCAAACAGUAUCAUUUGAGAGAAUGAAAUUCAGUAUAUUCAUAGCUGGUCUGUACAAUUUAUUGUAAAAUAGAAAUUGAGCCAUGCCUUACUGCCAUAAAACAACAACCACUCACCACUGUUAAACUGAGUUAAAACUGUUAAGGAUUUG